rnacentral:rRNA from 1 species
AUUGAACGCUGGCGGCAGGCCUAACACAUGCAAGUCGAACGAGUGGCGGACGGGCGAGUAAUGUCUGGGAACCUGCCUGACGGAGGGGGAUAACUGCUGGAAAAGGUAGCUAAUACUGCAUACCACCGGUUGUGCCCAGAUGGGAUUAGCUAGUCGGUGGGGUAAAGGCUCACCUAGGCGACGAUCCCUAGCUGGUCUGAGAGGAUGACCAGCCACACUGGAACUGAGACACGGUCCAGACUCCUACGGGAGGCAGCAGUGGGGAAUAUUGCACAAUGGGCGCAAGCCUGAUGCAGCCAUGCCGCGUGUAUGAAGAAGGCCUUCGGGUUGUAAAGUACUUUCAGCGGGGAGGCGUUACCCGCAGAAGAAGCACCGGCUAACUCCGUGCCAGCAGCCGCGGUAAUUC